GCACUGCUGAUGAGUCCAAAAGAGGACGAAACAGCUGUCAAGUGC
rfam:Echinostoma caproni strain Egypt genome assembly, scaffold: ECPE_scaffold0001936